rnacentral:SRP_RNA from 1 species
GCUGGGCAUGGUGGCGUGUGCCUGUAAUCCCAGCUACAUGGGUGGCUGGGCUGGGAGGACUGCCUGAGCCCAGGACUUCGAGGUUGCAGUGAGCCAUGAUGGACCACUGCACUUCAGCCUGGGCGACAAAGCCAGACCCCAUCUCUA